rnacentral:rRNA from 1 species
AUUGAACGCUGGCGGCAGGCCUAACACAUGCAAGUCGAACGAGUGGCGGACGGGUGAAUAAUGUAUGGGAAACUGCCUGAUGGAGGGGGAUAACUACUGGAAACGGUAGCUAAUACCGCAUACCAUCGGAUGUGCCCAGAUGGGAUUAGCUAGUAGGUGGGGUAAAGGCUCACCUAGGCGACGAUCCCUAGCGGGUCUGCGAGGAUGACCGGCCACACUGGAACGUAGACACGGCCCAGACUCCUACGGGAGGCAGCAGUGGGGAAGAUUGCACAAUGGGCGCAAGCCUGAUGGAGCCAUGCCGCGUGUAUGAAUAAGGCUUUCGGGUUGUAAAGUACUUGCAGCGGGGAGGCGUUACCCGCAGAAGAAGCACCGGCUAACUCCGUGCCAGCAGCCGCGGUAAUAC